UCCCUUAACAUAACAUAUCAUACAGUCCAACUGUGCCAGGGACGUAGAAUGGAUACAACCUGGACUUCCUCUUACAUCGUGCCAGGGACGUAGAAUGGGUACAACCUGGACUUCCAUACCAUAUCAUGCCAUAACAUCGUCAUAUCAUAUGAGGACUAAAGGAUCAUCCAAUGACCAAUCCACAUCAACAUCAUAAAUGCAAUGCAACAUAUUCGUGAAUACUAAUGCAAACAACCUACUACAUCUCAUGGCAUUCAUGAUGCAUGGAUCAUGCUCAAAAUUUAUAUUUCAUUUAUUUUAAAACUUAAGGUUUAUUCCACUCACCUCUGGCUAGCUCUGAUAAGCUCUGUAGCAGCUGGCUCACUGCUGGGGUCCUCGGUUCCUCGGGUCCGAACCUACACAGGUGGACUCCAAUGAGGGACCAAACAUACAUAAAC
rnacentral:lncRNA from 1 species